rnacentral:lncRNA from 10 species
GCAGAGAUGAGUGAGUUCUUACUCUUGAGUUCUCUAGAGAACUGGUUGUUAAAAGACCUUGGCAUUUCCUCCUCUUCUCUCUGGGUUUCUCUCUUGCCAUGUGAUGCCUACUCCCCUUCCCUUUCUGGCAUGGGUGGAAGUUGCCUGAAGUUCUCACCAGAAGCAGGUGUUGGUGCCAUGCUUCUUGUACAGUCUCCAGAACCAUAAGCCAAAGAAACCUGUAUUUUAAAUAAAUUACCCAUCCUCAGGCAUUUCUUUAUAGCAACACAAACAGACUGAGAAGCACUAUUUUAUAAAAUAAAGGUGCACCUAUAUAACUUAUGAAUGGUAUAUAACAUGGUAUCAAAAUAUUGCCAGUUCUAGUUCAUUUUGUGCUGCUGUAACAGAAUACACAUGCUCCUUGACUUAUGAUGGGGCUGUGUCCCAAUAAACUCAUCAUAAGUAGAAAAUAUCAUAGUUGAAAAUGCAUUUAAUGUCCCUAUAAACCCAUUAUAAAGACAAAAAAAUCAUAAGUCAAACCAUUGUUAAGUCCAGAUGCUCAUUGAUUUACAUUGGGGUUAUGUCCUGAUACACCCAUCGUAAAGUUGAGUAAUCAUAAGUUGAACCAUCAUAAACUGGGGCCCCUCUGUGCCUGAGACUGGGUAGUUUACAGUGAACAGAAGUUUAUUGGCUUAUUGUUAUGGAGGCUGGGAAAUCUAAGAUUGAGGGGCCAAUAUC